UGUGCAAUGUGGGCUUAUGUUUGUGUCUGGGCUUUAGCUUAUUGUCGCUUCCUAUAACCAGAAGCCCUAAUAUUAUUGUUCCGCUCCCCAUCUGAUUCCUACGCUCAUUAGCUUGAUCCCAACGACGUCUCUCCCCCUCUGCCUCCCAUCUCCGGCGAUGCCCCCACCACCAUGCCGCCGGAGUUCAAUCCCUACGUCUCUCCUUCACCUGCCCCCAAGAAUACGAUGGACUCUGUGCCGUAAUUUUCAGACGACAUCUCAAAGAUCCGUCACGAGUUUGAUUUGGCGAAACAGAGGUUCCUCAAUACCUCUAAAGCUCUAAUUAAUAUGCCUAAGAUGCAAUCCUCAAGGUUUGCCAUUGACUAAAACAACUCUUUUGGGUUUCCUGUUGAUCGUUGAUUCUCAAUAUUGAUUUUGUUGAUUCAUACUAUGUUGACAUGAAUCUCAGAUUAGAUAGCAAGUUUACAGAAUGACUAGAUUACACAUUCGCAUAUUAUUCCUAUGAUUUGAUAUAUGAUUUUUCCAAGCAGACAGUGUUAAUGAGGUAAUAUAUAUCACCUUUUUGUUUUUUUUUAUGUUUCAUUGACACGCUUGGGAUGGGGAAAAAUGGCAGCAAGAUCGAGAGAUACUGAGACAGGCGAUCAGGAAGAUGACAUCCACGGCCAUAAUUAUUGCCAGAUUUUUAAUAUGACGCACCAUACUGUCGUUUUGCAUAUGCAGACUAAUACCAAGAGGUUGUUCUUGCUACUAUCUUGCCGGAAAAUCCUGGAAGCUUUAAGAAAUUCUGUGAACUGGUUGUUGUUGUUAUUCGUUCUCUAAUCCAGACAAUGUUGUGUAUUGAUGCUUAGUGUUGGAGUGCACACUCCCAGAGAGCUCAAAACAUUAGAGAAGAGAAUGGAAUCUUCCUAGCUCAGAACUAGGAGCCUCACAACCAGUGACUUAGUAAGAAAUUACUUGCGUUAUUUGAUGGGUGGAAGAUCGGUAUUGGAGAAGAGUUUCUCUACCAGUUCAGCUUCCCUGAGAGACAUGGUGCUCUGAUGAACUUCUUGGACUCUUUCAGUCCACGUUGGAACAUUAGCCUUUUCCAUAAUAAACCCAUAGGGUGGGGCAGGCACGAACGUGCUGGUCAGGAUCCAAGUGCCGGAGCAAAACAUGGCGUAUUUCAAAACCCGAGCUCAAGUUCUUGGACACGAGUACGUCUUGGUAAGUGAAGACACUGUUUUCAAGCUUUUUGUGCACUGAGUUUAAAGCUGUGAUGAAGAGACCAAAACCAAGAAGGAAGUAGAAGAAUACAUGAGAUGUCUUCUUGAGCUCUCUGUUAGAAACAUCUGUGAGUCUUGGAUCUGUUGGAUGGGAUUUUAUGUCACGGGCCUAUUAUGCUAGCCCAAUAUGUAACAUUUAUUGCAUGUGAGCUCUCAUCGUUUUAAUGUAGACUUUCGAUACUUUUCAGCAAAUACAUUGUAGUUAUUGUUUAAUGAUAACACAAUCUCAUCUCA